rnacentral:rRNA from 1 species
CACGAAGUUAGCCGGGGCUUCUUCUGUGGGUACCGUCAUUAUCGUCCCCACUGAAAGAGCUUUGCAACCCUAGGGCCUUCAUCACUCACGCGGCAUGGCUGGAUCAGGCUUGCGCCCAUUGUCCAAUAUUCCCCACUGCUGCCUCCCGUAGGAGUUUGGGCCGUGUCUCAGUCCCAAUGUGGCUGAUCAUCCUCUUAGACCAGCUACCGAUCGUCGCCUUGGUAGGCCAUUACCCCACCAACUAGCUAAUCGGACGCGGGCUCAUCCUGAACCGAUAAAUCUUUGCCCCUCAGGGCACAUGCGGUAUUAAUUCCAGUUUCCCGGAGCUAUUCCGCAGAUCAGGGUAGAUUCCCACGCGUUUACUCACCCGUCUGCCGCUCCCCUUGCGGGGCGCUCGACUUGCAUGUGUUAAGCCUGCCGCCAGCGUUCGUUCUGAGCCAGGAUCAAACUCU